CCUACGGGUGGCAGCAGUCGAGGAUCUUCGGCAAUGGGCGCAAGCCUGACCGAGCGACGCCGCGUGUGCGAUGAAGGCCUUCGGGUUGUAAAGCACUGUCGCGGGGGGGGAACUCUGACCCCCCCCGGGAGGAAGCACGGGCUAAGUUCGUGCCAGCAGCCGCGGUAAGACGAACCGUGCGAACGUUGUUCGGAAUCACUGGGCUUAAAGGGCGCGUAGGCGGGCCGGCGAGUCGGAGGUGAAAGCCCCCAGCUCAACUGGGGAAGUGCCCCCGA
rnacentral:rRNA from 1 species